GGGAUAACAGGCUAAUAGGGCCCAAGAGUCCACAUCGACGGCCCUGUUUGGCACCUCGAUGUCGGCUCAUCGCAUCCUGGGGCUGCAGUAGGUCCCAAGGGUUGGGCUGUUCGCCCAUUAAAGCGGUACGUGAGCUGGGUUCAGAACGUCGUGAGACAGUAAGUGACCGUUGCUGUCUAUAAAUCUGGCUAAAUGCUGGGAAGCCUGGGGAAUCCCACGCUACCUCCCCGAAAUCUGUCGGCAGGAAUGUCGAUGGAAUGAGGAGGUGACAAUGCGAUGGGUGCAGGCAAUCAGCAGGGAAGGCCGGAUGAGCAAGUCGGCCACUACGUGGCGGGGUUCGUAGACGGAGAAGGCAGUUGUUCACGUGGCGGUGCAACGCGACCCCUCCACGCGGCUCAAGUGGCAGGUGGUUCCGGAGUUCCACGUCUCGCAGAACGACGGCAAUCAGCACGUGCUGGAGUUGAUCCGGGACGUGCUAGGAUGUGGAUACAUCAAACGGAAUCACCCGGCUAGCCUUCGCGACCGGACCUAUGUGCUGGUGGUGAAAGGUCACGCCGACCUGGUUGAAAAGGUGGUGCCGUUCUUCAAGCGGUUCCGCCUGCGGACGACGAAGCGGAUCGAUUUUGACCUGUUCGCUGAGGUCGUCGACAUGAUCGGUGAAGGCAGGCACCUUGACCAAGCAGGGCUGAGAGAUUCUGACCCUCGCCUUCACGAUGAACCAGGCCGGAGCUAGGCGGCGCAAGCCACUGGAAGCGAUACUCGCUCAUCUGGAACCCUCAGAGACUAUACGCCAGACGCCUGAAGAGGCGAAGAUAUAGUCCGAGCUUCCGGGCGACCGGAAGAGGCAGGCAGAAAUGACCUGCCCCCUCCGAAACUGGAGGAGUAACAACACUGUCGGUCCCUAUCCACUGUGGGCGCAGGUGACUUGAGGGGAGCUGCUCCUAGUACGAGAGGACCGGAGUGGACGGACCUCUGGUGUACCGGUUGUCCUGCCAAGGGCACGUGCCGGGUAGCCAUGUCCGGACGGGAUAAGCGCUGAAAGCAUCUAAGCGCGAAGCCCACCCCAAGACGAGGUCUCCCACCGGGUCAACCGGGUAAGUCCCCUGGGAAAUGACCAGGUUGAUAGGCCGGAGGUGUAAGCGCUGAGAGGCGUUGAGCCUACCGGUACUAAUCGGACGAGGGCUUGAGCCC
rnacentral:rRNA from 1 species